GUCUUCCGAUACCAAGUAAGUAUCGAAACAAGAGUAUCGAUACCAAAUGUACUUAGCAUAAAAAGAAAAGUAUCGAUUCUUGUAUUUAUUUACUUGUAUCGGAACAACCCUAAUCCAACCUGAAACCCAAGUUAACCUCUCACUUCUCAUUUGACAUGUCAGGUUCUAAUAGAUAUUCAUCUCUAGCGCCCUUUGAUCUUCAUAAAUUGUUAAUAAAUCACUACGUUUUAACCAGAAGAGGAACAACAAAGUUACUUCAAAGAGACAAAUCAAAAGACAAAAGAGAUAUCGAUGUCAUUCGUGAAAAUCAUAAAUUCUUGUGGGAUGAACUUGAUGAACCAGACACAUGGGAAAAACGACUUGCCAAGAAGUAUUAUGAUAAGCUCUUUAAAGAAUACUGCAUUUGUGAUCUUAGCAGAUAUAAAGAAAACAAGAUGCUAUGUAUAGAUGGCAUUGUGUGCAAGGUGGCUAUGAGAUGGCAGACCGAGACAGAGAUGGUGACGGGUAAAGGCCAGUUCGUCUGUGGGGAGAAAAGUUGUAAGGAUAGUGAAGGUCUGCGCAGUUGGGAGGUCAAUUUCGGCUACAUCGAGGAUGGAACUAAGAAAAAUGCUCUUGUCAAGCUGCGACUCUGUCCAGAGUGUUCAUAUAAGCUGAACUAUAAACACAAGAGGAAAGAAAUUAAUCGCAAAUCAAGAAAAAGGUCAAGUUCAAUAUCAGAGGAUGGUGCAAGUAGCAGAAAGUUAUUAAAGACCGUAGAAUCAACCAGUGGAGAAACAGAAAAAUCCAGUGUAAAUAAAAAUGAAGGAGAAGAUAAUAUAUCAGAAGAAGAACAUAACAUUUGGAAAGAAAGUAAUGUGGCUUCUGAGGAGCGCACAAGAGAUGAAGAUUUUGAAGAUUAUUUAGAAAUGUUGCUGUUGUGAAAUAAUUUUUAAAACAAAUAGACCAUUAAUGAGAUAAUUGAUUUUAGAAAUAGGUUAUGAAAUUUUAAUUUAAAACUUCCUGUCUUUAAUUUUGUUUAAAGAGAUCAUGAAUUUCAUCAAACUAGUAACAUAAUAAUAAAGCUACAAUUUAUUCAUACAAUUAACAUUAAUUCUGUAAUACAUACAUGGAAAUGAAGUUAUUUUAUAUAAAUUGUUCAAUAGAAAAAUAAAAUUAUUACCAUGCACAACGAA
rnacentral:misc_RNA from 1 species